rnacentral:rRNA from 1 species
UACGGAGGGUGCAAGCGUUAUCCGGAAUCACUGGGUUUAAAGGGUGCGUAGGCGGCUUUAUAAGUCUGUUGUGAAAGCCAUCGGCUUAACCGAUCGAAUUGCAAUGGAUACUGUAAAGCUUGAAUCAGGUUGAGGCAGGCGGAAUGCGACAUGUAGCGGUGAAAUGCUUAGAUAUGUCGUAGAACACCAAUUGCGAAGGCAGCUUGCUGGACCUUGAUUGACGCUGAGGCACGAAAGCGUGGGGAGCAAACAGG